rnacentral:tRNA from 1 species
GCAGGUAUGGUGGAAUUGGUAGACACGUCAGACUUAGGAUCUGAUGCUUCACGGCGUGGGGGUUCGAGUCCCUCUACCUGCA